UACAGAGGGUGCGAGCGUUGUUCGGAAUUAUUGGGCGUAAAGGGCGCGUAGGCGGUUCGUCGCGUCGGCUGUGAAAACCCGGAGCUCAACUCCGGGCCUGCAGUCGAUACGGGCGGACUCGAGUUCGGCAGGGGAGACUGGAAUUCCUGGUGUAGCGGUGAAAUGCGCAGAUAUCAGGAGGAACACCGGUGGCGAAGGCGGGUCUCUGGGCAGUAACUGACGCUGAGGAGCGAAAGCGUGGGGAGCGAACAGG
rnacentral:rRNA from 1 species